rnacentral:rRNA from 1 species
GAUGAACGCUGGCGGCGUGCCUAAUACAUGCAAGUCGAGCGAACAGACGAGGAGCUUGCUCCUCUGACGUUAGCGGCGGACGGGUGAGUAACACGUGGAUAACCUACCUAUAAGACUGGGAUAACUUCGGGAAACCGGAGCUAAUACCGGAUAAUAUAUUGAACCAUGGUUCAAUAGUGAAAGACGGUUUUGCUGUCACUUAUAGAUGGAUCCGCGCCGCAUUAGCUAGUUGGUAAGGUAACGGCUUACCAAGGCAACGAUGCGUAGCCGACCUGAGAGGGUGAUCGGCCACACUGGAACUGAGACACGGUCCAGACUCCUACGGGAGGCAGCAGUAGGGAAUCUUCCGCAAUGGGCGAAAGCUUGACGGAGCAACGCCGCGUGAGUGAUGAAGGUCUUCGGAUCGUAAAACUCUGUUAUUAGGGAAGAACAAAUGUGUAAGUAACUAUGCACGUCUUGACGGUACCUAAUCAGAAAGCCACGGCUAACUACGUG